rnacentral:rRNA from 1 species
UACGUAGGGGGCAAGCGUCGUCCGGAUUUAUUGGGCGUAAAGAGCGUGUAGGCGGCCAGACAGGUCCGUUGUGAAAACUCGAGGCUCAACCUCGAGACGCCGAUGGAAACCGUCUGGCUAGAGUCCGGAAGAGGAGAGUGGAAUUCCUGGUGUAGCGGUGAAAUGCGCAGAUAUCAGGAAGAACACCCGUGGCUAAGGCGGCUCUCUAGUACGGUACUGACGCUGAGACGCGAAAGCGUGGGGAGCGAACAGG